GACAGGUGUGUGUAAUGAUGGUGACAGGUGUGUGUAAUGAUGGUGACAGGUGUGUGUAAUGAUGGUGACAGGUGUGCGUAAUGAUGGUGACAGGUGUGCGUAAUGAUGGUGACAGGUGUGUGUAAUGAUGGUGACAGGUGUGCGUAAUGAUGGUGACAGGUGUGUGUAAUGAUGGUGACAGGUGUGUGUAAUGAUGGUGACAGGUGUGUGUAAUGAUGGUGACAGGUGUGCGUAACGAUGGUGACAGGUGUGUGUAAUGAUGGUGACAGGUGUGAGUAAUGAUGGUGACAGGUGUGUGUAAUGAUGGUGACAGGUGUGUGUAAUGAUGGUGACAGGUGUGUGUAAUGAUGGUGACAGGUGUGUGUAAUGAUGGUGACAGGUGUGUGUAAUGAUGGUGACAGGUGUGUGUAAUGAUGGUGACAGGUGUGUGUAAUGAUGGUGACAGGUGUGUGUAAUGAUGGUGACAGGUGUGUGUAAUGAUGGUGACAGGUGUGCGUAACGAUGGUGACAGGUGUGUGUAAUGAUGGUGACAGGUGUGCGUAAUGAUGGUGACAGGUGUGUGUAAUGAUGGUGACAGGUGUGUGUAAUGAUGGUGACAGGUGUGUGUAAUGAUGGUGACAGGUGUGUGUAAUGAUGGUGACAGGUGUGCAUAACGAUGGUGACAGGUGUGUGUAAUGAUGGUGACAGGUGUGUGUAAUGAUGGUGACAGGUGUGUGUAAUGAUGGUGACAGGUGUGUGUAAUGAUGGUGACAGGUGUGCGUAAUGAUGGUGACAGGUGUGUGUAAUGAUGGUGACAGGUGUGUGUAAUGAUGGUGACAGGUGUGUGUAAUGAUGGUGACAGGUGUGUGUAAUGAUGGUGACAGGUGUGUGUAAUGAUGGUGACAGGUGUGUGUAAUGAUGAUGACAGGUGUGUGUAAUGAUGGUGACAGGUGUGUGUAAUGAUGGUGACAGGUGUGUGUAAUGAUGAUGACAGGUGUGUGUAAUGAUGGUGACAGGUGUGUGUAAUGAUGGUGACAGGUGUGUGUAAUGA